rnacentral:rRNA from 1 species
GUCCACGCCCUAAACUAUGUCAACUAGUUGUUGGGGAGUUAAAUCCCUUAGUAACGCAGCUAACGCGUGAAGUUGACCGCCUGGGGAGUACGGUCGCAAGAUUAAAACUCAAAGGAAUUGACGGGGCCCGCACAAGCGGUGGAUGAUGUGGUUUAAUUCGAUGCAACGCGAAAACCUUACCUACCCUUGACAUGUACGGAAGUUUCCAGAGAUGGAGACGUGCCCGAAAGGGAACCGUAACACAGGUGCUGCAUGGCUGUCGU